UUGCUUACUUUAAGGCCAUGAAGAAUAUGAGACAUGCUGGGUGUGGUGGUAGACAUCAUUAAUCUUCCCAGCCUGGAGGUAGAGGCAGGUGGAUCUCUUGAAUUCAAAGCGGUCCUAGUCUACAGAGUUCCAGGACAGCUAGGGCCCAAUAGUGAGACCUUGGCUCAAAAAGAGUCUGGGGGUUGGGGAAUGGCUGUAGACUUGCUUAGUGGCUAAAAACCCUGGUUCUUUCAAAGGACCCAGGUAUGAUUUGUCGCACCCAUAUGUCUGCUCGAAACCUUCUAUGACUCUAGUUCCAAAAGUCUGACAUCCCCAUCUGGCCUCCAAGGGCACGAGGCACCAAGGUAGUUCAUACAUGUUUAUACAUACAGGCAAAAUACCCAUACACAUAAAAGAAAAGGAAAAAAAAUAGAUGAUAGGUUAAUAUGGUUCUUGCUUGCCAUUCGAGAACCUACGCUCAUCCUUAGCACCCACAUUUGACGGCCUGUAAUUAUAGUUCCAAUGCUGGAGAAAUGGAGACAGGCAAAUCCCACAGGGCUUACUAGUCACUCCUGACGAGUUUCAGAUUUGAAAAGCAAGGUGGGGCUGGAGAGAUGGCUCAGCGGUUAAGAGCACCCGACUACUCUUCCAGAGGUCCUGAGUUCAAUUCCCAGCAACCACAUGGUGGCUCACAACCAUCUGUAAAGAGACCCGAUCCCCUCUUCUGGUGUGUCUGAAGUCAGCUACAGUGUACUUAUAUAUAAUAAAUGAAUAAAAUCUUAAAAAAAAAAAAAAAAAAAGAAAAGCAAGGUGGAGGACUCCCAAAGAACAAUAAAGAAAGUUAAUUCUCCAUCAUCCUUGUCUUAGGAACUACUUGGCUCACGCUGAUCUAUUUCUAGAGUUUGUUGUAACAUCUCAGAAUCUAUCUGUUUUGAUUUGACCCAUCGAUGUCUUACUUUUCUUAUUCUGUUACUCCCACAAACUAUAAUAAAAUCAUGUUCUUUCUUAGAAAGAGGGAGAGGAAAAGGGAGAGGGGAAGAGAGAGAGAGAGAUUCAAAAAUAAGUGUUAGUUUGUCCUCAUUUUAGAUUUCAAUAUAGAAGCUGCAUUAUCAUUAAUCUGAAAAUACUGGGCACGGUAGCAUCACCCGUAGUCCCAUUAGUUGAGAGACUGAGGCAAAAUAAUCACAGUCAGUUGGAAUACACAGUUCCAGGCUACUGUGGGCUAGAGUGAGACCCUGCCUAAAAAAACAAAACACAAACAAAACCAAAACAAAACAGACAACAACAAAAACCAGAGUUUUUUGUUUUGUUUUUUGAUACAAGUGUGUGUAAUGGUACAAUCUUUUAUCUCAGGAGGCAGGAGGGUCAGGAGUUCAAGGUCAUUGAGCUCCAGGCCAGCCUGAACUACUUGAGUGAGACUCGGUCUUUCAAAAUAAAGCUUUGACUCAGUAAGAUCUUAAAACUUCAAAAGUGCUAUCGAUCUGCUCACAACUUCACGGAAACCCAGCACAGCUGCCUGCCUCUUAACGCCGCAGGAUGGGCAGGGGAGGCCCCGUAGCUCUUUCUUUCCGGGGGGCUGCGGGAAAGCCCGGAGCGCCCCUCGGCGGCCGGAUCAGCAGCGGAGCAGGUCCUACUUUUCGAGCAGGCGGCUCGGCAGGGCGCAGUGCGGAACCGGCACUUAGGCCUCCUCUGCAGCCCGCUCUCCUUGCCCAGGCCGGGCUGCCGGCUACGCGUGGGAUCCUAGGCCAGGAGCCGCGGCCCCGGGGCUGUCCUCGCCUCACCCCACUCUGCCCCUUCGGUAUUUCUCAAUGACCGGCGCUCGAGGACACUUCCGACGCGGGGGAGGGGUGCCACUCGCGCGGGUUUAUCAGUUCCUUCCGGCCGCGCCCCGGCCGCUGCAGCGCCUGCAUCACUACGCUCGGGCGAGCAGCCGCGGGUACCCGCUGUGCCAAGGGAGCCCUGGACAGUGCAGACGUAGUGAGAGGCGCCGCGGCCCUGCUGGGUGAAUGGCUCGGGCCCAUUGCACAAUCUCCGGUAUAAUUAGCCAAGGGCGGCGGUGCAGGGCUCAUCCCCCAGGCGGCACACUCCAGGAUCAUUUUCCCUUUCGGUUGCAUAGCCGGGAUUUUUAUUAAACAGACGAAAAGCCUCCGCCCCGCCUCCCUCCACGCGGGUGCAAGUAUUAUGAAUGAAACGCCAACCCCGCUGCGGCUGAGGUCGCCACUUCAGGAGGCAAGAGGAUUGCAAAUUGGAUCUUGUCAGAGUGUCAGAAACAGAGGAGAGGAGACAGAGAGAAAUCCUCCCCUAACAAUUGCAGAGGAUCAGAAUUUCUGAGUCAGGCUGGGUAUGUGGCCCAAUUAGUAGAGUGCAUUGUAGCAUUUAUUGUGAUAGUGUGCAUGAAGCCCUAGCUAGCUUCGACUCCCCAGCUCCUCAUUAAUCCCGCCUGUAACCUCAAGGUUAUUCUCACCUACACCGUUUUGAGAGACACGGGAGUCCUUAAUGUUUUCACAAAACAAAUGAAAACAAAUGAAGACAAAUUAAUUCAGAAACCGCAGUAACUGAAGCUAGGAGCCAUGUCCACAGUUGAAUGAAUUUUAAAUCUUGCUCUUUAAAUCUUGCUUUUUUGUGUAUUUAACAAGCAUGUGAAGGAAACCCUGCCACUGCCUCCCCACCCCAGCCCCCCUUCCCUGUUUUGGCAGCGUCUCUAUGUAGCCUUGGUUGGCCUGCAGCUCGGCCUGCUUCUGCCUCUUGAGUGCUGGGAUCAAAGGCAUGCAUUACCACAUAGGCAGAGAAAAACUUCAUUCUAAAAUUUAAAACCUAAUUUUUUCCUCCUCCUCUUCCUCUUCCUCCUCCUCCUCCUCCUCCUCUUCCUCCUCCUCCUUCUUCUUCUUCUCUCUCUCUCUCUCUCUCUCUGUCUCUCUCUGUUGUUGUUGUUGUUGUUUGGGUUUGUUUUUUUUUUUUUAUUUGUGUUUGUUUUCCAGACAAGAUUCCUCUGUGUAGCCCUGGCUAUCCUCAAACUCAUUUGGUAGACCAGACUGGCCUUGAACUCAGAGCUCUGCCUACCUCUGCCUCGUGAAUACUGGAAUUGCAAGUAUACAGGACCACUUCUGGGCUCAGCUAGAUUUCUUUUUUGCAGAUAUGAACUGGUAUGUUUGUGAAGACGAAACGGAGAGAAGUCUAGGGUGCUGGUUCAGCAUUCUACCACAAGCAAUGUCUCUCAUUUCUCCUCCACACAUCAUAACAUAAAUAAAAGAAACAAGCCCAGGAGCUUGUUUUGUCCAGCA